AUGACACCCAGUUCCAAGAACAAAGAACAUUUAAAAGAAGAACAGGGGGCACUAGCUGGGAAGAGCCUCUCUUCACACCUUAAGAUUAUUUCCCUCCUCACCCUAUGGCACUGUGCAAACACAGAAGUCUUCUUUGGUAAAGGAACCAGACUUACAGUUGUAGAGGAUCUGAGCAAGGUGACUCCACCCAAGGUCUCCUUGUUUGAGCCAUCAGAAGCAGAGAUUGCAGACAAACAAAAGGCUACCCUCGUGUGCUUGGCCAGGGGCUUCUUCCCUGACCAUGUGGAGCUGAGCUGGUGGGUGAAUGGGAAGGAGAUCCACAGUGGGGUCAGCACGGACCCUCAGGCCUACAAGGAGAGCAAUAACUUCACCUACUGCCUGAGCAGCCGCCUGAGGGUUUCUGCUACCUUCUGGCACAAUCCUCGCAACCACUUCCGUUGUCAAGUGCAGUUCUAUGGGCUUACAGAGCAAGAUGAGUGGAAUCAGACCUCACCCAAACCUGUCACACAGAACAUUAGUGCAGAGGCCUGGGGCAGAGCAGAUUGUGGGAUUACCUCAGCAUCCUAUCAACAAGGGGUCUUAUCUGCCACCAUCCUUUAUGAGAUCCUGCUAGGGAAAGCCACCCUGUAUGCUGUGCUUGUCAGUACACUGGUGGUGAUGGCUAUGGUCAAACGAAAGAGUUCCUGAAGCCAGACAUGAAGGUGAAUCCAGGAGCCGCCAACUCAUUGUGUUAAUACUGAUUUUCUUCUUCCAGCGCUUCUGAAGAGCUAUUCUCAUUUGUCUGUGAAUCCCAAAGUCUGCCUACUAGUCAUGUAUACAUGCCCGUGUAUGUCUGAAAUCCUUGUGACCUGGAGAAUGCCUAGCACACUUACAAGCAAAUCAAUAAACAUGUUCUAGAACGGCCUGA